GGAAUUUGGUUUCCCUUCAUUAUCACCUUCCAAAGGUGAAAGCUGUUGGACUGAACGAAGAUCUUCAUCCUCUCCUUCCAGUACGUGUAAUUUCUACCGUUGAAUAGAGGUGGUCGUGUGGAGCACUGUCCUUCAUCAAUUCCUGCAAAAGAAUCACGAUUAGAAGCCAUGGAUGGUUCUCUGAAACUGUUAAGUUUUCAGAGAGUUGG
rnacentral:lncRNA from 1 species